CUGAACAACAAGUUAACUGCUGUUCCCAGUUAUAUCUGGUCUUUCCCACCCCCAAACAUACACAAAAGAUUUUUGUCAUUCUUGGCACUGGACAACAGAAGUGAUAAGACAUGCCAGCAGAACUCUAAAGGCAGAAUGUCCUUCCACCUGUUUUAUGCUGUAAGACAAACUUCCAAGUGCGAGGCAGUGUGGAGGGCUGUUUCCUUGAAUGGCAGCUGAAUGCACCGGCGGGAUCCUUGGCAGCAAUGCCCAGGCACUGAAGCCGGGCAUUCAGGAGAGCUAAAUGGAGAAAAGAAACUUGAGCAAACUGCUUCCUGGAACACUGAGAACCUGAAUGGGAAAUUAAGAAGAACCAGAUUCUUUCUAUUCUUCCACCAGCCAAGGUCAGAUUUCCAAACUUCUAUUGAUUCUAAUCUUUCCCAAACAGUGCUGUGGCAAUGUAUGAAAGUAAUAAAAAUAAUCCUUUUUCUGUUAAAAAAAAUUGCUGUUACUUGCUGUUUUGUUAUGCUUUUGCUGGAGAUUUUCCCACCCAUCUUAAAGCAGCAACUUCAGGAUGGGGGAAUCAAGCAAAACCAUGGUGAAGAGAUUCAUUUAAAGAGGACAAGUGAUUUAUUCUACAUCUCAGGAGACAGUUCCUUAAGGUGAUGAGCACAAAAGGAUCCAUCUUAUACAGUGCUUGCCAGCUUCCAUAAUACUACUCACCACGAUGUUGAAAUCACCUGUUCCAGAACCAGUCCUGUCCUUUGACAAGAAGGAUUUAAUUAUCAGUAGUGGUGGGGACUGGCUGGAGAGAGGAAAAACACUUCAAGGACUCUGCCACCUUUCGUAGAUGGAGAGUGCAAAGUUUGUACCAUGGAACUCCUUCUCUAACAGUUACUCUGUGGCAGUGCCUAUUUCAAACCUCCCUUAACUUCUGAUUGUAUAGAUGUUUGUUUCAUUUGUUCAUCUGUUUGUUCACUUAGUCAGAGAUGUUUUAAGCCUUAAGAGAAAUAGUGGACUAGAAAAUGCCUUGGAAAAGUACAAAGUUCAAUCCAAGUAAACUGUUUUUAAACUAGGAACUUAUGAAGCCUAAAAUAUAAAAUGUAUGUACAUGGAUAUGCUCUGAAGUGAGGUAGAGGGGUAGAAAUCAACAUUGUGAUAUUGUACUAUAGUUUUGCAAGAUGUUACCAUUGGGGGAAAAUGUUUGAAGGGUAUACAGGAUAUCUCUGCCUUAUUUCUUACAACUGCAUGUGAAUCUACAGUUAUCUCAAAAUAAAAAUUUAAUUAACAAUUGAUUACAAUUAA
rnacentral:lncRNA from 1 species